rnacentral:rRNA from 1 species
GACAGAGGUCCCGAGCGUUGUUCGGAUUCAUUGGGCGUAAAGGGUGUGUAGGAGGCUAGGUAAGUCAGGUGUGAAAUCUCAGAGCUUAACUCUGAAACUGCGCUUGAUACUGCUUAGCUAGAGGAUCGGAGGGGGUAACGGAAUUCAUGGUGUAGCAGUGAAAUGCGCAGAUAUCAGGAAGAACACCCGUGGCGAAGGCGGUUCUCUGGGACGGUACUGACGCUGAGACGCGAAAGCGUGGGGAGCGAACAGG